rnacentral:rRNA from 1 species
CAUGGGUAGGGGAGCGUUCCAAGGGCGUUGAAGGUUGACCGCAAGGACAGCUGGAGCGCUUGGAAGUGAGAAUGCCGGUAUGAGUAGCGAAACGGUCAGUGAGAAUCUGACCCACCGAAAGCCUAAGGUUUCCUGAGCAACGCUCGUCGUCUCAGGGUAAGUCGGGACCUAAGCCGAGGCAGAAAGCAUAGGCGAUGGACAACUGGCGAAAAUUCCAGUACUGCAUGUUGUUGUUUGAGGAUGGAGUGACGCAGCAAGGAGCCCCAGCACACGAUUGGAAAUGUGUGUCGAAGGCGGUAGGCUGGUGUGGAGGCAAAUCCCCACACCGUAAGGCUGAGAACUGAUAGAUAGACAAUCCCACGGGAGCGUCAAAUUGGGGCGUACUACACUGCCAAGAAAAGCUUCUAACGAGACAACAUGUACCCGUACCAAAACCGACACAGGUAGGCGGGGAGAGAAUCCUAAGGUGCGCGGGAAAACCCUCGUUAAGGAACUCGGCAAAAUGCAUCCGUAACUUCGGGAGAAGGAUGGCCGGAGCUGGUGAAGAGAUUUACUCUUGGAGCUGGAGCCGGCGACAGAAGAGAAGCCCAAGCGACUGUUUACCACAAACACAGGUGCCUGCUAAAGAGAAAUCUGACGUAUAGGUGCUGACACCUGCCCGGUGCUGGAAGGUUAAGGAGAGGAGU